GUUGAAAUACCUCAUGAACAUCCGAUAAAAUUAGAACGAUACAGAUUAGAUUAACAUGAAACAUGUGCAAGGAUGACAGACAAAUCGAGACAUGGUCCAAAUUUUA